rnacentral:rRNA from 1 species
UACGAAUGGGGCAAGCGUUGUUCGGAAUCACUGGGCUUAAAGCGUGCGUAGGCGGAUUUGCAAGUCAGAAGUGAAAGCCCAGGGCUUAACCCUGGAACUGCUUUUGAAACUGCAAAUCUAGAAUCCGGGAGAGGUUAGGAGAAUUCCCAGUGUAGAGGUGAAAUUCGCAGAUAUUGGGAGGAAUACCAGUGGCGUAGGCGCCUAACUGGACCGGCAUUGACGCUGAGGCACGAAAGCGUGGGUAGCAAACAGG